CAUCUCCUAAGCAUUCGUCUUGUAGAACAUCGUGUGCAAGACUGGUAUUGAAGAGGAUACCCUAUCCUUACGUAGGCAUAAGGUAGUCACAGGUGUUCUGCCCAGGCACCUGCAGCAGCACAGCCUUAGAGAAAGGGCCUGGACUUGGAAGCUACACAGAGACUUGAGCUGGAGUUGGGGAAGAUCAUUGAUCGAGACUGGAUUCUGGCAGAGCAAGAAAAGUCCUGACAAAUGGAGAAGUGGGGCCUCUAGGGCCCUCACAGUGAGAGACUGACAGUCCCUCUGCUUUUGCCCCUUCCCUUCAACUGGGCCAUCCUUUCCUCUGCCCCACCAAGUUCCCUUUGGCCUGAAGCUCACUGAAGCUGCUCCUUCCUUUUCUGCUCUUUCCAAAUCCCCCCUCCUUAUG